rnacentral:rRNA from 1 species
AUACCCUGGUAGUCCACGCCGUAAACGAUGAGUGCUAAGUGUUAGAGGGUUUCCGCCCUUUAGUGCUGCAGCAAACGCAUUAAGCACUCCGCCUGGGGAGUACGACCGCAAGGUUGAAACUCAAAGGAAUUGACGGGGGCCCGCACAAGCGGUGGAGCAUGUGGUUUAAUUCGUAGCAACGCGAAGAACCUUACCAGGUCUUGACAUCCUCUGACAAUCCUAGAGAUAGGACUUUCCCCUUCGGGGGACAGAGUGACAGGUGGUGCAUGGUUGUCGUCAGCUCGUGUCGUGAGAUGUUGGGUUAAGUCCCGCAACGAGCGCAACCCUUGAUCUUAGUUGCCAGCAUUUAGUUGGGCACUCUAAGGUGACUGCCGGUGACAAACCGGAGGAAGGUGGGGAUGACGUCAAAUCAUCAUGCCCCUUAUGACCUGGGCUACACACGUGCUACAAUGGAUGGUACAAAGGGCUGCAAGACCGCGAGGUUUAGCCAAUCCCAUAAAACCAUUCUCAGUUCGGAUUGUAGGCUGCAACUCGCCUACAUGAAGCCGGAAUCGCUAGUAAUCGCGGAUCAGCAUGCCGCGGUGAAUACGUUCCCGGGCCUUGUACACACCGCCCGUCACACCACGAGAGUUUGUAACACCCGAAGUCGGUGGGGUAACCUUUUGGAGCCAGCCGCCUAAGGUGGGACAGAUGAUUG